GUGCACGCAGGGACUGGAAGCCGCGAUUCUAACCUCACUUCCUGCGGUUAAAUAGUUGUUUUCAGUCCUAGUGACAUAAUAUUAUGUUGUGACUGAAGUGAGUGAAGUGUAGUGUGACGAAAUGUGGAUUUAUCACCCCAGACAAAGGCGAGUGUCUUCCGACGAAAUUUUGAACCGUUGAAUUAUUCGGUUGGAAUCGAACAAUCGUCUCGGGGCCUUCGAUAUAUCAUACUGCGAGAGCAACAUAUUCUUCGUUACGACGAAUUAUCGAGGACAAUUGGAGUUUUUGGGAGGAUGGAGGGAUGUGUCAAGGGCCACGCGGUUCUGCGAAGUAGCGCGAGGUCUGUUCCAUGGAAAAUCAAUACGAUUUAGCGAGUGUCACGCUGAUGGUCUGAGUGGAAGACGGGUGAACCUACUGAAAUUUUGAAUUCAACAUCUCCAGGAGAAAAAUAUCUGGCCCUGGAAUAUCGUCCAGAACUGAUUGGAAAAGUCUUCAAGAAGUUAUUCUGAACAUUGACAAAGGGGUGAAAAUUGUUCGCAUAAGUAUUAACUGGAAUGAUAGACCUGGAGAUCACCUCGUUUUCCUCGCACUCAACACACCGACUCAGAAAAUUGAUGGAGAAAAAAACGACACAUUCAACAUCGAAUGGCUGGGGCUCGAUUGCCGGUAUAAUAACCGGAAAAUGAAUGAUAAUAAAGCUGCAACGGGAACAGGAGAGAAGCUAAUAAUUUCGACCCACUAACCAACUAAUGCAAACGAUACUUUUCCCUGCUGCACGCGGGUACUCAAAAUGCAGGAGAACAAACGGAUACUACAGUGCGCUUUCACCAUUGAAUUCUGCAGUCACUGGUGAUUGCUGUGGGUUCAAUCUCGAGGUGAUAAAAUCGUGUCCGUGGUAUAGAGCAAUGAUAAUUACACGCUUUGAAGUUACAAACUUGCCUGUCUAUCAUUUUUUUUUCAGCAGGAAAAACACGUCAGGUGGAAACGUACAAAAUUCAAAAAACGAGUCAGUGCAGGUAAAUUUGUACAAUUUUUAUAAUUCUGCGUUGUCUCAGAAAAAUUGUGAAAUAAAAAAAAAAUUAGCACAAUUUUUCUUGCUACCUCGUGUCAUAAGAACAGCAGAGGGAGUAUGACCUCUUCUGCAUUGCGCAAAUUGUUCAUUACGCCUCGAAGAAGCUGUGCAGAAAGCGUUGAGAGGAGCUCAUGAAAAAAAUAUUGUGCAAUUCAAAAAUUUUCGGCCCUUUUUUUUACAUUCUACAAUUACUAGUCUACAGUAUUAACUAUUUCUGAGGGCCACUGUAGGACCCAGAAUUUUUUAAACCAUUAAAUGUGCAUAGGAUUUUUUUUAAAUGUAAUUUCAUUUUGAAAAAAAGGAACUCACCCGAUCCUUCGUUGAUAUCAUUUUGGCGGUUCCAUUGUUACCAUUGCUGGUGUUAUUAAGCGGUUCUUUUGAAAUUAUGUCUGACAUUUUGAAUCACAGUUCUCUCGGAAUAAUCCACACAUCGACACUUAACAAUUCAACACAUAUUCAGUAAUUUAGCACAAUAAUUAUUUCACCGUUCGCUUCCAAUCAUCAAUCUAUGUUCAUUGAAAACUCGAGAAGUAUAUCAGCAGGAAAUAAAAACAAAUUUAUUUAUA